CCUUCAGCGCCGCUCCCUGGCGGGCGGCUGCGGCGCUUACCCCAUGCGUGACCCAGGGCUUCUUUGGCCUGCGUCCCUGAAGCCCCGGCGCCGCCCGCGAGCUUCCACCUGGGCUGGAAGGGUCGGGGUGAACUCUUAACUCCUGAGGUCGAAUCCGUCGACUCCUGCCCUUCGGGAAGAAACAGAAAGCGGUGGGCAAGUUCUGGAAAGAUUGCUGAACUCUGAACCAUUAUGUGGCUGUUCCCAUGUUGCUUAUGGUCUGUGGACAAGCCUGCAGACAACUGCAACAACUCAGAGAAGCAAAUGAAAGCUGUUUUUUACCUGGGAAAAUAAAAUCUGGACUUGAAAAUUGUGACUACUAUUUAGAAAAAAAAAAAGAUGGAAAGUUGACUGUGUUUCUGCAUACCUCUAAUCACCAAGGGGAUGAGGCAGGAGGAUCGUGCGUUCAGGAGAAUCAGGAGGGCUACACCUUAGAAUGAUGAAAGGAGUGACAUGGAGCAAGAUGCGAUGUACCUCUAAACUGAUUUGUUGAAUGAUAACUCCUCUGCAUAACUACUUCAAGUUAAUAAACAUGAUUUUAUAAAUAGAUGGAAGGUGCUAUGGGUGAACUGGAGAAAAGGAAAGAUGGUCUCUACAAGUCUCUACUUCUGAGACUCAGGAUGGGAACUGAGAGAUAUGUUAAAGAAUCCUUGGAAAUAAGUUGAAGAUUGAAUCAUAAGAAAAAGAACCUCACAGAAAAAUAAGGAGUCUUUAAAGGAAGAGAAAGGCCCAAGUAAUAUGACAAUAUGGGACCUCACCAUUGUCCUCAAAUCUUCAGCAAAGAUAAAAUAUGAAAUGUAUUUUCUGGUGAAAAUUAAGUAGAUGAUUUGCAUCUUAAUACAAUGUAGUACAACUAGCAGCAGCAUAUUAGCAACAAUAAAACAACCCAUCCAUUGAGCUAGCUAGUAACCAGAGAAGGCACAAGGUUCACCCUCACCUUCAGAAUCUGCACACGGGAAUGAAUAAACUUAAGGCAAUUACAUUUGAAUCGCAAAAAAUGGGUUAUAAAUUGAUAAGAGGUGUGUACUUUACUUUUCACUCACUUUACUCCGUGUGACAGCCAUUUCCUACCUUCUGAACAGAAAAUACUUGCAUGGUGAUGAUGUUGACAUCCACGUUCCAUUUUCCUUUCAUUCAGAGGCCUGGGCCAUUGUAUGUUUUCUAUUCCUUUCUAGCUCUGGUCAGCAAACAGUGUUUCCUCCUUCACAGUAGAACUGAUUCUUGGGGCAGCUGCCCUUUACCCAAGUUGUGGAAUUGGGUAGAACCCUUUGAACAGUGGUAUUCUGGUGGCCUUUUCCUUAGUGAAAACAUCAGUCUCUUCCCUAGACUUAUUGCCACCCACAUUUUUUUCUUCCCUGACAGGCCUCCCACGGGUAAGUUUUGCUAUUAAGAGAGAUUCCAGAUAAUUAGUACAGGGAAUUGGAAUCAAAGAGAGAAAUAAUGGAAGACAUCACCAUAGUGUCCUAUUUAAUAAAACUAGUAUCUGAGCAGAACAAUAGGUAGCCUCCCUGUGGUCUGAGGGAAAAUAGUAGACAAGGAAAAAAGACAAGGACAGGGAUUUAGUAGUAGAGUUAGGAAUAAAAGAUAAUUUCCAGAUGAUGAAUCAGUAUCACCUCUGUGGUGUAAGUAGUCUCUCUGCCCAUAGUCAAGAACUUGAAACUAUCUCAUUCUGACCUUCCUCUGGGUACAUCCUUACCCAUUAGAUGAGGAAUCUAUAGAAUCAGGAGACAUACACAUUUGGAGACUAAGACCACCCUAUGAAGUUUCCACCCCAAAUAGCUGAGCCAUUACCAGGGACAUCACAGCAUUCCAAGCUGUGAAGAUAUAUUUGUCCAGGUAAGA